rnacentral:rRNA from 1 species
GAUGAACGCUAGCGGGAGGCCUAACACAUGCAAGCCGAGCGGUAUUGUUUCUUCGGAAAUGAGAGAGCGGCGUACGGGUGCGUAACACGUGUGCAACCUGCCUUUAUCUGGGGGAUAGCCUUUCGAAAGGAAGACCAAUACUCCAUAAUAUAUUGAACGGCAUCGGUUAAUAUUGAAAGCUCCGGCGGAUAGAGAUGGGCACGCGGAAGAUUAGCUAGUGGGUGAGGUAACGGCUCACCAAGGCGAUGAUCUUUAGGGGGCAUGAGAGGGUGAUCCCCCACACUGGUACCGAGACACGGACCAGCCUCCUACGGGAGGCAGCAGUGAGGAAUAGUAGGCAAUGAGGGCAAGCCUGAACCAGCCACCCCGCGUGAAGGACGACUGCGCUAUGGGUUGUAAACUUCUUUUGUAUAGGGAUAAACCUACCCUCGUGAGGGUAGCUGAAGGUACUAUACGAAUAAGCACCGGCUAACUCCGUG